AAUAUUUCUAUUCAACUCUGCAAAACUGACAGAGAUAUUCCAGACUGCGCGUGAGACCAGAUGAUGUGAAACUUUCAACCAUUAAACCCCUGUUCAGCUGUAGUCCAGAAGCAGGCAGCCCACAGCAGCCUGGGGAUGCUGAUGGAAGAAGCCGAAAUGUUUUCAGCCAAACCGAUUUCUUGCCGGCAGCUUCGGAUGCUGUAGCUGGAACCAGAGCAGCCCACAGAGAGAAGUAAACAAUUAAAACAUUUACAUGUUUGCUUCGUGAUAGACAUCUCUACGAGGACUGUGUCUCAGCCUGUGGUCCAUCAGGCAGCAGAAAAUAUUUUCAGAUGAAUUACGUGUGCAUCAAAUGAGCAUGCUUUCUCACUCAGGCCAGAUUCUAUGGAGCCUGGGUGACUUCAGAAGCAGAAACUUAUUAGAAGAAAUCUUUGCCAUUAUAUGUAUAGUAAGUUCACCUCCCAUGUCUACUUGUGCUCCAUACAGUGCUGGGCUGCAUGGGAGGAAUGGGUGCAUGUGGUUUGAUCUCAUUUUGCUCACCAUGGAAAGGGACAGCUGCAGCAAGCUGCAUGCUUUCUGAGGUAUCAGCUGCCAGAUAGCCUGUAACACCUCAGCCAGAGGCGCAGGAAUCUCUUCUUAAGUGCAAGCUGACCUGAGGCCAUACCUACACAUGCAGAUCCUUUGGACUCCACACCUGUAGUGUGGCGUCCAUGAAGCAGCAGCAGCAAAGCAAUUACCACAGAGCUGGCUGUGAUUAAGCCAUCAGGGCUCAUACCUCUCUGGCAUAGCUGGCAUGCCUGUCUGGCAUAGGUGGCAUAGCUGGAGCUGGUAAGAUGUUUGCCUUGCAGUACCCAGAAAGCUGGAUACCUCUUGGAGUGGUUCUGACGCACAAAUUGGAGACAUUGGUCUCCUGCCAGACUGGGCAGAAAUAACACAGCAAGAUGCCUCAGAAGCAAAGAAGUUGUUCAGGACUUCCUCUUCCCUCAGCAGGAGCAAACCUGAAAGGCAUAGAGGGGCAGGCCAGUGAACCAAGCUUGGCUGAAGACCUCUCAUCACUGACACUACCAUGCUCCCAUCUUGGGCUGCUGGAGAGUGGUGUGUCCUUCAUAACUCACUGUACCCUCAUGGUCGUAGCUCAUCUUCUGGUGCCUGGCUGAGCACAGAGAGCCAGUUAUGCUUCAGGACCUCAGUGUAAGAUGUCAUCACAACAAGCAAUUGGAAAGGCCAAGGAAGGCUGAAAUCUGUGGCUGUGAAGAUGGGGGUGGCUGUUUCACUAUGAGAUACGGAGGAAAUAUUUCUCCUACACCUACCGCAGCCAGACUGCAGAUGUUGAGUUGAGUGACAAGGAAAUGGGAGCCUGGGAUGUCUCAGCACAAGCUUCCCUAAGCCUUGACUUGAUGGGUGAGCACCUGAACACAGCCAGAGCCUGUUACAUUAAAGGCUUUAUAAAAGCAACAGUGCCAAGCCAACAUCCACCUCCCACGUUACCGGCAGCCCCAGCAGGUGUAACGCGAUCCGGCAGCCGCAGCUAGCAGAUAAACAAACGGCCUUUCUGCACAGGUUGUGCCAGAGAGCCUCUC
ensembl:lncRNA